UACAGACACACAUAUACAAACACUGACACAUGCAGAUAUACAGACACACAAAUACAAACACUGACAUACAUGCAGAUACACAGACACAGAGAUACAAACGCCGACACAUAUGCAGAUUCACAGUCAGUCACACUGACACAUGCAGAUACAUAAACACCCAGAUACACAGACUGACAAACAUACAGAUACACACAUACACAGAUAUAAACAC